GAUGAACGCUGGCGGCGUGCUUAACACAUGCAAGUCGAACGAAGCAUUUAAGACAGAUUACUUCGGUUUGAAGUCUUUUAUGACUGAGUGGCGGACGGGUGAGUAACGCGUGGGUAACCUGCCUCAUACAGGGGGAUAGCAGCUGGAAACGGCUGGUAAUACCGCAUAAGCGCACAGUACCACAUGGUACAGUGUGAAAAACUCCGGUGGUAUGAGAUGGACCCGCGUCUGAUUAGCUUGUUGGCGGGGUAACGGCCCACCAAGGCGACGAUCAGUAGCCGACCUGAGAGGGUGACCGGCCACAUUGGGACUGAGACACGGCCCAGACUCCUACGGGAGGCAGCAGUGGGGAAUACUGCACAAUGGAGGAAACUCUGAUGCAGCGACGCCGCGUGAGUGAAGAAGUAGUUCGCUAUGUAAAGCUCUAUCAGCAGGGAAGAUAGUGACGGUACCUGACUAAGAAGCUCCGGCUAAAUACGUG
rnacentral:rRNA from 1 species